GGCCUGACUCAUGUGUCAUGCAAAGGAUGGCUCUUGAAAAAAUGGAAAGAAGCAGGGGCUGCUAAGGGAGAGAUGUGAAGGUCGAGGCAGCUCUGAGCUCCUGACAGCUGCCCUUCUAGCCUUCUCCUGCCUCCCAUAGAGAGAUGCUAUGGGCUCUUGGUCCAGAGACUCAAAUUCAAGGAAAAGAAGAGGCAACAUUUGCAGUGUUGAUCCCUGAGUUGAACAAAGAGUUGUCAAGGAGAAGAAACCACCAAGAAAUGUAAUCUACCUCCAGAACUCAGGAACUCAGCAAAUUCUCCCAGAUCCUGAUACCUCAUUUCUGAGGCCUUCAUCUUUACCAAAUCUUUCAAUCCAAAGCAAAUGAAUACUGAAUGUUCACGUUGAGAUGAUCUUUAAAUGUAAUUAAAUAGAGAUAAUGUAAUUAAAA
rnacentral:lncRNA from 1 species